rnacentral:rRNA from 1 species
GACGAACGCUGGCGGCGUGCUUAACACAUGCAAGUCGAACGGAAAGGCCCUGCUUUUGUGGGGUGCUCGAGUGGCGAACGGGUGAGUAACACUUGAGUAACCUGCCCUUGACUUUGGGAUAACUUCAGGAAACUGGGGCUAAUACCGGAUAGGAGCUCCUGCUGCAUGGUGGGGGUUGGAAAGUUUCGGCGGUUGGGGAUGGACUCGCGGCUUAUCAGCUUGUUGGUGGGGUAGUGGCUUACCAAGGCUUUGACGGGUAGCCGGCCUGAGAGGGUGACCGGCCACAUUGGGACUGAGAUACGGCCCAGACUCCUACGGGAGGCAGCAGUGGGGAAUAUUGCACAAUGGGCGGAAGCCUGAUGCAGCAACGCCGCGUGCGGGAUGACGGCCUUCGGGUUGUAAACCGCUUUCGCCUGUGACGAAGCGUGAGUGACGGUAAUGGGUAAAGAAGCACCGGCUAACUACGUG